UACGUAGGGUGCGAGCGUUGUCCGGAAUUAUUGGGCGUAAAGAGCUCGUAGGCGGUCUGUCACGUCGGGUGUGAAAACUCGGGGCUCAACCCCGAGCCUGCAUUCGAUACGGGCAGACUAGAGUGCGGUAGGGGAGAGUGGAAUUCCUGGUGUAGCGGUGAAAUGCGCAGAUAUCAGGAGGAACACCGGUGGCGAAGGCGGUGCUCUGGGCAUUUCCUGACGCUGAGGAGCGAAAGCGUGGGGAGCGAACAGG
rnacentral:rRNA from 1 species